rnacentral:rRNA from 1 species
GGGGAAUUUUGGACAAUGGGCGCAAGCCUGAUCCAGCAAUGCCGCGUGCAGGAUGAAGGCCUUCGGGUUGUAAACUGCUUUUGUACGGAACGAAAAGCCUCUCUCUAAUACAGGGGGGUGAUGACGGUACCGUAAGAAUAAGCACCGGCUAACUACGUGCCAGCAGCCGCGGUAAUACGUAGGGUGCAAGCGUUAAUCGGAAUUACUGGGCGUAAGGCGUGCGCAGGCGGUUUUGUAAGACAGUGGUGAAAUCCCCGGGCUCAACCUGGGAACUGCCAUUGUGACUGCAAGGCUGGAGUGCGGCAGAGGGGGAUGGAAUUCCGCGUGUAGCAGUGAAAUGCGUAGAGAUCGGGAGGAACAACAGUGGCGAAGGCGACUGCCUGGGCCAACACUGACACUGAGGCACGGAAGCGUGGGGAGCAAACA